rnacentral:tRNA from 2 species
UUCUUGGUGGCCAGGAAAGAGGCGGCACGGCUUUUCACGCCGUUCCAGUCCUUGUCCGGAAUCAGGGCCAUGAUU